rnacentral:rRNA from 1 species
AGCGAACGCUGGCGGCAGGCCUAACACAUGCAAGUCGAACGGAUCCUUCGGGAUUAGUGGCGGACGGGUGAGUAACACGUGGGAACGUGCCCUUUGGUUCGGAACAACUCAGGGAAACUUGAGCUAAUACCGGAUGUGCCCUUCGGGGGAAAGAUUUAUCGCCAUUGGAGCGGCCCGCGUCUGAUUAGCUAGUUGGUGAGGUAAAGGCUCACCAAGGCUACGAUCAGUAGCUGGUCUGAGAGGAUGAUCAGGCACAUUGGGACUGAGACACGGACCAAACUCCUACGGGAGGCAGCAGUGGGGAAUCUUGCGCAAUGGGCGAAAGCCUGACGCAGCCAUGCCGCGUGAAUGAUGAAGGUCUUAGGAUUGUAAAAUUCUUUCACCGGGGACGAUAAUGACGGUACCCGGAGAAGAAGCCCCGGCUAACUUCGUGCCAGCCGCCGCAGUAACAC